rnacentral:misc_RNA from 1 species
AUUGGAACAAGCCACUGCAAAGUUUUCUCCAUUUCAGCUUUGAUUUGGGCAACUGCAAGCUCUUCCUUUACAUGGAAUGUCUGUAAUUUGGAGCGCAGAGCAGAUUUGAUAUUGGGUGGAAGCCCUUGAUACAAGGCAUCCCUUGUAUUUGGAGGGACAGAACUUGAUCGGGACACCAGAGUAUCAAUUUGAGUGAUAAUAUUUGCAUAAUGCAAUGCAAGACCAGCAGAGCCCAAUCUUUUGUGAUUGCUCAAAGAACCUUUUACUGGUCUAUCACCAUCAGCACUACCAAAAGCUUCAUGGAUC